rnacentral:rRNA from 1 species
GACGAACGCUGGCGGCGUGCUUAACACAUGCAAGUCGAACGGAAAGGCCCUGCUUGCAGGGUACUCGAGUGGCGAACGGGUGAGUAACACGUGGGUGAUCUGCCCUGCACUUCGGGAUAAGCCUGGGAAGCUGGGUCUAAUACCGGAUAGGAGCCAUUUUUAGUGUGAUGGUUGGAAAGUUUUUUCGGUGUAGGAUGAGCUCGCGGCCUAUCAGCUUGUUGGUGGGGUAAUGGCCUACCAAGGCGGCGACGGGUAGCCGGCCUGAGAGGGUGGACGGCCACAGUGGGACUGAGAUACGGCCCAGACUCCUACGGGAGGCAGCAGUGGGGAAUAUUGCACAAUGGGCGCAAGCCUGAUGCAGCGACGCCGCGUGGGGGAUGACGGCCUUCGGGUUGUAAACUCCUUUCGCUAGGGACGAAGCUUUUUGUGACGGUACCUAGAUAAGAAGCACCGGCUAACUACGUG